CAGUUUAACGGCCGCGGUACCCUAACCGUGCGAAGGUAGCAUAAUCACUUGUUUCUUAAAUAGAGACUAGUAUCAACGGCAUCACGAAGACUAUACUGUCUCCCCCCUAAAAUCAAUGAAGCUGAUCUCCUCGUGAAGAAGCGAGGAUGUAUAUAUAAGACGAGAAGACCCCAUGGAGCUUUAAACGAACUUCAAUUGUUCCUACCCAUAACAUACAAAUUGAACACCCCUGAUAGUUAGUUUUAGGUUGGGGUGACCGCGGAGUAAAACAAAACCUCCACAAUGAAUGAAAUAAAAUUCUUAUAAAAGAACCACAAUUCUAAUAAUCAAAAAUUUGACAUAAAUUGACCCAAACACUUGAUCAAUGAACCAAGUUACCCUGGGGAUAACAGCGCAAUCCAUUUUAAGAGCCCAUAUCGACAAAUGGGUUUACGACCUCGAUGUUG
rnacentral:rRNA from 1 species